rnacentral:rRNA from 1 species
UACAGAGGGUGCGAGCGUUAAUCGGAAUUACUGGGCGUAAAGGGUUCGUAGGCGGUGUGGCAAGUCGGUAGUGAAAUCUCCCAGGCUUAACUUGGAGGCUGCUGCCGAAACUGCCGUGCUAGAGUACGGGAGAGGCGAGUGGAAUUACAGGUGUAGCGGUGAAAUGCGUAGAUAUCUGUAGGAACACCCGUGGCGAAGGCGGCUCGCUGGACCGUUACUGACGCUGAGGAACGAAAGCUAGGGGAGCAAACAGG